GCCAGGCCGCUUCGCAAAGUUUGUCAGUGAAAACCCCGCCAGGUUCGGAAGAAAGCAACGGUAUCGCUGAGGUGCUUGUGCGAAGCGGCUUUUUUAU
rnacentral:SRP_RNA from 1 species